rnacentral:sRNA from 1 species
UUAAAAAGCAAGCUGAUAAAUCCGGAAACUAAUUUUUUUUCAUCUCUUUCCUCUUGAUGUGUGUGUGUUUGGGUGUGGCGGUCUGCCACCCCUUUUUUUU